AGCCCCGAGGGAGGGUUCAGCAACUCCUCCACCCGGAGCUCCUGCUGCCAGGACAGGGCCAGCAGGACCUCGUAAGUGUCCUUUGCUCCACAGAAGCUUCUGGGCGUGGUUGCAAACCCUGAUCUACAUAGUAAAAGGCAACAUUGACUUGCAGCUCCUGAGCCUGCCCCAACCAUGAAGAAUGUGGGCAUCUUGCUGGUUCUUGUCAGCCUGUUGGUAACAUGCCUCCUGGCCAUGCACCGUGUGGGUGUCCUGGUGAAAUGUGCCUGCACUUUCACCACAGACUCAAUAAGCCCUUGAUGGACUAUGGAGAUACUGCAAUGCAGUGCUAGAGGCCAGCCCCCAUGCCUGGCUCCCUGACCACGCCCACUGGGGGAGCAGGGACAUUGUGUUCUUCCUGACUGUGGACCAGCUGGGCUUCUGCUGUGUGUUCCUGAUGCUUCUGGCAGAUAACCUCAAACAAGUGAUCAAGACAACUGAUGAGAUCAUAGCUGACUGCCAGGGCAGAGGCGUGGCGAUUCCCACACCCACCGUGGAUGUCACAUCUACACAGUGUUCACAUUUCCCUUGCUGGUGCUGCUGGUGUUCCUCCAGAGCCUCUGUGCGCUGCCUACUUUCUAGAUGCUGAACAAAGUCUUCACGCUGGGAAGCCUCGUCCUCAUCCUCCAGCAUCUCCUCCAGGAAAUCCCAGACGCCAGCAGUCUGCCCCUAGUGGCAAACUGGAAGACCUAGUCCCUGUUCUUUGGGACAACUGUCUUUGCCUUUGAAGGUACUGAAGUGGUUGUACCAGUCUGUUGAGCUCCUCUACUUGGGUGGCAUCUGCCUUACCUACCCCCUGCAGUUCUAUGUCUCUGCCAAGAUCAUUGUGCCUGUCACUGUUUCCUGGGUGUGCAAGUGCUGAACCCUCAUGGUAGACUUGGGCAUUGGCUCUGCCAUGCUUUGUAAGACAUGUUCCCUGGCCAUCCUCAUCCCCCAUCUGGGCAUGGUCCUUACCCAGAUGAGCUUGGUGAGCAGCAGCACCCUGCCCCUCAUCAUCCUGUGCCUCCUGGAGAUGACUACCUACUACUCAGAGUGCAUGAGCUCCCUCAUCAUCACCAAGGACGCCCUGAUCAGCAUCCUGGGCUUUGUGGGAUUUUUGGUGGGGACCUUCUAGGCCCUCCAUGAGCUGAUCCAGCC
rnacentral:lncRNA from 1 species